CAGAGGGUGCAAGCGUUAAUCGGAAUUAUUGGGCGUAAAGGGCUUGUAGGCGGUUAAUUAAGUUAGAUGUGAAAUACCUGGGCUUAACCUGGGAUGUGCAUUUAAUACUGGUUAGCUAGAGUAAGGCAGAGGAGUGGGGAAUUCCUGGUGUAGCAGUGAAAUGCGUAGAGAUCAGGAGGAACAUCAGUGGCGAAGGCGCCACUCUGGGCUUAUACUGACGCUGAGGAGCGAAGGCGUGGGGAUCAAACAGGAUUAGAUACCCUGGUAGUCCACGCGGUAAACGAUGAAUACUAGCCGAUGGGGUGAGAACCUCAGUGGCGCAGCAAACGCGAUAAGUAUUCCGCCUGGGAAGUACGGCCGCAAGGUUA
rnacentral:rRNA from 1 species